rnacentral:lncRNA from 1 species
AUGCCCAAGAGAAAGCCUGAAGGGGAUGCUACAGGAGAUAAAGCCAAGCUACAGAGAAGAUCUGCAAGGUUGUCUGCUAAACCUGCUCCUUCAAAGCCAGAGCGCAAGCCCAAAAAGCCUUCUUUGCCCCUGCAAAGAAGGGAGAAAAGGUACCCAAAGGGAAAAGCUGAUGCUUACAAGGAGGGGAAGAAUCCUGCAGGAAAUGGAGAUGCCAAAACAGACCAGGCACAGGAAGCUCAGCGUGCUGGAGACGCCAAGUGA